UACGAAGGGUGCAAGCGUUACUCGGAAUUACUGGGCGUAAAGCGUGCGUAGGUGGUGAGUUAAGUCUGAUGUGAAAUCCCCCGGCUCAACCGGGGAAUGGCUGGGCAUACUGGCGAUCUUGAGCAGUCUAGGGGCAGAUGGAACAAGUGGUGGAGCGGUGAAAUGCGUAGAUAUCACUUGGAACGCCAACGGUGAAGACAGUCUGCUGGGGACUUGCUGACGCUGAGACACGAAAGCCAGGGGAGCGAACGGG
rnacentral:rRNA from 1 species